AGUGAACGCUGGCGGUAGGCCUAACACAUGCAAGUCGAACGGCAGCACAGUAAGAGCUUGCUCUUACGGGUGGCGAGUGGCGGACGGGUGAGGAAUGCAUCGGAAUCUACUUUUUCGUGGGGGAUAACGUAGGGAAACUUACGCUAAUACCGCAUACGACCUACGGGUGAAAGCAGGGGAUCUUCGGACCUUGUGCGAUUGAAUGAGCCGAUGUCGGAUUAGCUAGUUGGCGGGGUAAAGGCCCACCAAGGCGACGAUCCGUAGCUGGUCUGAGAGGAUGAUCAGCCACACUGGAACUGAGACACGGUCCAGACUCCUACGGGAGGCAGCAGUGGGGAAUAUUGGACAAUGGGCGCAAGCCUGAUCCAGCCAUACCGCGUGGGUGAAGAAGGCCUUCGGGUUGUAAAGCCCUUUUGUUGGGAAAGAAAAGCAGCAGGUUAAUACCCCGCUGUUCUGACGGUACCCAAAGAAUAAGCACCGGCUAACUUCGUG
rnacentral:rRNA from 1 species